rnacentral:rRNA from 1 species
AUGUUUGAGCUGAAGAUGGUGAAGGGAAGCACCUUACAGGGUGUCCUGGAGGCGAUCCUCGACCUGGUCAAUGUGGCCAACGUCGACUGCUCCAGCGAGGGCUUCUCGCUCCAGGCCCUGGACACCGAACACGUCGUCUUCCUCUCGCUCUUCUUCCCCUCCGAGGCCUUCCAGUCCUACCGCUGCGACGAAGACCGCUCCAUGGGCAUCGCAAUCGCCGACAUGGUCGAUUUCCUCCGCUCCUCCAACGAUGGUGACAUCAUCACCAUCAAGGCCACCGACCAAAACUUGGAAGACAUUACCAUAACAUUAGAGUCGCCCGACAAGAUUAAAACUAUGGCUAUAGAUUUGCGGCUUGUGGACGCCACAAGCCAAUGCCUCAAAAUCCCGGAUUGGAACGAUAUGGAGUCGGACUACCAGGCCAUUUUCUGCAUGCCCUCUGAGGAGUUUAGGUUGAACUGCAAGUCCCUCAGCGUCAUCGACGACGAUGUUGUCAUCUCGGUGAAUGAGGAGGUCAUCAGCUUCUCUACUAAAGGAGAAAGUGGGUGCGUGAACAUUUCCCAUGUGAUGAACAAAACCGACAAGCCAGAAAAAGCUAGUGUUAUCCUUACACAUGCGCGAGGGCCACUUUCAUUGACCUUGAACUGGAGGUACAUGAAGUCCUGCGCCAAGGUGUCUAAGCUGUUUGAUCAAGUGAAGAUUGGUCUCUCCACCAAGCGACCUUUGAUGGUCGAGUGCCAAAUUGUAGAGAAGGGCUACAUCAGGUAUUUCGUGGCACCACUAAAGGCAGAGGAAGGGAAAACUGAGACCGAAGAGGCAGAGGGAGAGGAAGGGAGGCAAAGGAAGAAAGCAAAAAAAAAUGAUGAAACGGGAAGCAUCUUUAGUACCAUGUUGGAGCUGCGGAUGGUGAAGGCAAAGGGAAGCAUCUUCGAGGAUGUCCUGGAGGCGAUCCUCGACCUGGUCAAUGUGGCCAACGUCAACUGCUCCAGCAAGGGCUUCUCGCUCCAGGCCGUGGACACCGAACAGGUCGUCUUCCUCGCGCUCUUCUUCCCCCCCGAGGUCUUCCAGUCCUACCGCUGCGACAAACACUGCUCCAUGGGCAUCGCAAUCGCCGACAUAGUCAAUUUCCUCCGCGCCUCCAAAGAUGGUGACAUCAUCACCAUCAAGGUCACCGACCAAAACUUUGAAGACAUUACCAUAACAUUCGUGUCGCCCGACAAGACUAAAACUACGGCUAUGAAUUUGCGGCUUGUGGACGACAGAAGCCAUCGCCUCAAAAUCCCGGAUUGGCAGGAUAUGGAGUCGGAGUACCAGGCCAUUUUCUGCAUGCCCUCUAAGGUGUUUAUGUUGAACUGCAAGUCCCUCAGCGUCAUCGACGACGAUGUUGUCAUCAAGGUGAAUGAGAAGGUCAUCAGCUUCUUUACUUCAGGAGAAAGAAGGUGCAUGAACAUUUCCCAUGUGCUGAACAAAACUGACAAGCGUGUUACCCUUACACAUGCGCGAGGGCCAGUUUCAUUGGCCUUGAACCUGAGGUACAUGAAGUCCUGCGCCAAGGUGUCUUCUACCCUGUUUGAUCAAGUGAAGAUCGGUCUCUCCACCACGCUACCUUUGAUGGUCGAGUGCAUAAUUGCAGAGAAGGGCUACAUCAGGUAUUUCGUGGCACCACUAAAGGAAGAGGAAGGGAGGCAAAGGAAGAAAGCAAAAAAAAAAAGAAGAAGAUGA